GUACGUGACGCAUAUUGCUUAAGCUUGUGAAGUUUGUGUCUACAAGAGGUCAGGAGGAUGUUCAAGAUCGACUGUUGGAGGCGUGACAAUGCAGUGUAGUCCGUGUCUAUUAGAUUUAUAUUUCUUAUCUUUAUUAGGAUUUAGAUUUGUUAAACUAUUUAAAUUUGGCAUACUUCUCAGUCAUCAUUGACUUGAGCUAUUUUGGUUCCGCCGCGAUAUUGACCACCGAGGUCUAGUAUUUUUAUUUUGUUGGAUGUUUUGCUACUUUCUUUUGAGAUUGACCAUUAAGGUCUUUAAUUAUUUGAUAGUAUGAAACCGUAGUUUUCUGGA